UUCGCAAUGCCCGAAAGGGUGACGAAGCGACGCCGCGUGUGGGAAGAAGGCCCUAGGGUUGUAAACCGCUGUCAGGAGUUAAGAAAUAUAGAGGUGUUAAUAGCGCUUCUAUUUGACGAAAGCUCCAGAGGAAGCCACGGCUAACUCUGUGCCAGCAGCCGCGGUAAUACAGAGGUGGCAAGCGUUGUUCGGAAUUAUUGGGCGUAAAGGGCACGUAGGCGGCCCUGCAAGUCAGUUGUGAAAGCCUUCCGCUUAACGGGAGAACGGCAGCUGAUACUACGGGGCUAGAGUACGGGAGGGGAGAGUGGAACUUCUGGUGGAGCGGUGAAAUGCGUAGAUAUCAGAAGGAACGCCGGCGGCGAAAGCGAUUCUCUGGCCUAUAACUGACACUCAGUGUGCGAAAGCUAGGGGAGCAAACGGGAUUAGAUACCCCGGUAGUCCUAGCCGUAAACGAUGGGCACUAAGUAGAGGGAAUUACCGAUGUUCUCUCUGCCGUAGCUAACGCAUUAAGUGCCCCGCCUGGGGAGUACGGCCGCAAGGCUAAAACUCAAAAGAAUUGACGGGGGCUCGCACAAGCGGUGGAGCACGUGGCUUAAUUCGAUGCAGCGCGAAAAACCUUACCGGGGCUUGACAUGAUAGAAGUAGGAACCCGAAAGGGCAACGAACGGUAUCCAGUCCGUAGCUAUCACAGGUGUUGCAUGGCUGUCGUCAGCUCGUGUCGUGAGACGCUGGGUUAAGUCCCCUAACGAGCGAAACCCUUGUUUUUAGUUACCAGCGGGUUGUGCCGGGUACUCUAGAAAGACUGCCGUCGUCAAGACGGAGGAAGGUGGGGAUGACGUCAAGUCAUCAUGGCCCUUAUGUCCCGGGCUGCACACGUGCUACAAUGGUCGAUACAAAGGGAUGCUAAAUCGUGAGAUGGAGCGAAACCCAUAAAGUCGAUCCCAGUUCAGAUUGGAGGCUGAAACUCGCCUCCAUGAAGUAGGAAUCGCUAGUAAUCGCGGAUCAGCCUCGCCGCGGUGAAUAUGUUCCCGAGCCUUGUACACACCGCCCGUG
rnacentral:rRNA from 1 species